CAGCAGCCGCGGUAAUACGAAGGGGGCUAGCGUUGUUCGGAUUUACUGGGCGUAAAGCGCACGUAGGCGGACUUUUAAGUCAGGGGUGAAAUCCCGGGGCUCAACCCCGGAACUGCCUUUGAUACUGGGAGUCUUGAGUUCGAGAGAGGUGAGUGGAAUUGCGAGUGUAGAGGUGGAAUUCGUAGAUAUUCGCAGGAACACAAGUGGCGAAGGCGGCUCACUGGCUCGAUACUGACGCUGAGGUGCGAAAGCGUGGGGAGCAAACAGGAUUAGAUACCCCAGUAGUCCCUGUCUCUUAUAC
rnacentral:rRNA from 1 species